rnacentral:rRNA from 1 species
UACAGAGGGGGCAAGCGUUGUUCGGAAUUACUGGGCGUAAAGGGCGCGUAGGCGGCCUUCUAAGUCGAACGUGAAAUCCCCGGGCUCAACCCGGGAACUGCGUCCGAGACUGAAAGGCUUGAAUCCGGGAGAGGGAUGUGGAAUUCCAGGUGUAGCGGUGAAAUGCGUAGAUAUCUGGAGGAAUACCGGUGGCGAAGGCGGGUCUCUGGGCCGAUACUGACGCUGAGGAGCGAAAGCGUGGGGAGCGAACAGG